rnacentral:sRNA from 1 species
GCUGAGAGAAUGAGUCACAGGUCCUAGAGGAGAUCAGGCAAUUCACAGAGGCAUAAUUAAACGCCAGCACGAAUAGCACACAAAUGAACCAGGGCCCGGAAGCAGCAUGCAGUUAGUCCAGAGAAUACGGUAGUGUGGGAGUCAGUGGAUCCACGGCCUCCACAGAUAUCUUUGGGAAGUUCUCAGAGCCACAAUUGUCUAUGUGUGAUUACCUUCUGCUGCUGCAAUUGCCAGGUCAGUAAGCAAAAGGAGGCUGAUUUAAAGCCCCAUCUAUUCUACAGCCCUCAGAGGCAGGGCCUCUCUCGGGGCUGAUUCAAAAGGAGCAUUCUUGUUACAGCUUCCCCCCUCCCCACUUUUCCAUUUCUGUCUAUUCCAUGAGCAGGUGGCCACUACCUGUGGCUGAUAAUUACAGGCUUUAUGUAUGCUGACUAUGAAAGGAUCUUGUCUGUGGUCAGGGCUGGCAGAGAAGUAUGAGACAUAUGUUUGACCCCAUAAAAGGAGGGAAAUUCUCCUUUUGUUAUGGGCCUUAGGGUUUUCAAGGCUACUACCCAUGGAAAGUGCUUGCCAUGUUCAAGGGCUAAAGGCCACACACACAAUCUUUUAAGAGCCUGUCAGCACAAAGUCCAUUCACUGAAAGCCUCGGCUGUCCCCUGCCAUUGGCAGGUAGAGUCCUAUUAUGUGGCCCCUCUUUGUAAAAGGCAAAAUUUCUAUAGCGGCCAUCGCUGAAAAUGUUUAAUACCUUUAAAUUUCAAUAAUAUAACGAUAAAGAAAAAUGCUUCUCUGUGUGGACCUAGUGGAUAGAAACAGGUUUUGAUCUCUGGGGAGACAUGUUCUUUUGAGUUCUGCAGUAAGGUAUCUCUUCUGACAGUACCCAAGUGAGUGGCACAAAAGUUCUGGACAGGAAGGUUGCAAAAAACCCCUCUGAAGCUACAAAAAUCAUCAAAACAGCGAAAAGGCCUCGACUAGGAAGACUGUUGGGAGAUGAAAAACAGAAUUGUGACACCGUAGAAUCAGAAGUUGCCUUGGGAUUCCCGGGGAAGCCCAUCCUGUGCAGUGGAGAAGAGAAAGGUUGAAUUGUCAGUAGUCUUGCAUUCAGGCUUUCCUGAAACACUUCAACUUUUACUCCGGAUGUGGAUGCAGCCCUUGGCUACUUAUUUGAUGGAUUCUCAAGAAUAGAGACUCCUCCCCAGCCCAUCUGUAAAUUCUAAGCCUGUGAUGUAGAUUACUGGUUACAGUCAGGAAGUACGUUCUUUCUUCUUAGGGAGAGAUUCUGAGCCAGUUAAUCUAACAGGAAUAAAGAGAUUUGAGAGCAGUUUCAUCUACUGAGGGUUUCUCCCUCCUCAAACUUACGCAAAGUACUAUAUUCUCGAAUCGGAAAGUCGUUCCAGAUGAAGAAGCUCGUGGAUCACAACAUGGAUACAGUAGUGCUCGCUGGUGACUCGGAGGGACACGUAUCGAUGGAGGAACUCAGCACUGUAAUUCAUCUGGUUUAGAAAACACUGCAGGAGAGUGAAAAUCAAGCCGACAAAGAAUAUUGAGCUUUGCCAUCCACUCCUUCUUGAGUCACUUGCCUUAUUCUGUUUUCAAGCCACUGAAACUCUCCCAUGCAUAAAUAUAUGUCCACACAGGAUGGCAAUAUGGCUAUGUAAUAGAGUACAGGUAGUAUGCUAUCUGUUUAUUAAACAUUGAUUUCAGUAUGCAUAUGCAGAGACAUCGUGGGACUAUAUCUUAGUGAUGUGCAUGAGUAUGCACACACGUGCUCAGAAAAAAAGCAGAACAUAAACACUUUAAUAGUGGUUAUUUCAAGGUGAUGAAAUGCAGUGGCUCUCUUCUUAAAAGUGUCUCUAUUUUGUUCAAUAUGAACCUGUUGUAACACAGUACAGUUACUCCUCUGUGACAGGAAUUCCUGGAGAGAGCUGUGUCUGCAAAGACUGAUAUGUCAGAAGAGCAAUGAUGUGCAGAGGCAGAAGUCCCAAGCUCAGAGUUUAAUUACACUUUCUCUGGGGCUAACUUUAGCUCCCAAUAGCCAUUUCUUGCCCACCUCUGUCAGUUUUAGCAUCCUGUGACUCAAAGGUUAAAAAAACUUUUGGAAUUUCAAUAACUUAUCAGACAACCAGCAUCUGCCAACCCAAAAGCUAGGGCUGUCCUCAGAUCCCAUCGGAGACUCUAGGGAGAGAUUCCCCCAUCUUGCAGUUACUGCCCCUCUGCUGUUUUUCUGGAUGGAUCUUUUCAAUGCCUAGAUUUCCAUCCUCUUCGUUCUGCUUCUAUGAAACUGCUUCCUCGUUGGAGAAUAAAACCUGGGGCAGCCUAACUCCAUGUUCAAUCCUUGGUCACUCAUAUUUGGCUCCAGAAUAAAUUCUCUCUUAUUUCCUUUGAUUUUUUUCCGCAUUAACAGGAUCAUGACUGAACUUCAGACAGCACAGGUUUUAGCAAAAGACAGCCUGAUAUUCUCUCAGAUGGAUUCUCUAACUACUGUGCCCAACUGGUACUGGGGUGUGCCUUGUGGCUAUCUUGGGGCUGGCAUUGAACCUUUUUCAGUGAGCACAUCUUAACAUUAGUAACUGGGGUUCAAAAAAAUACAAUUUGUAAAGCCCGAUGAAGACAUUUCAAAGUUACAAGUUAUAGCCAUCAAGCGACUCCUGUAAAGCGCCUUCUCAUGUGCCUGAUUAAAGUCACCACUGUAGGAAAGGCCAGAAGUAACAGAGGUGAAGGAAGCAUAGGAC